AUGCAGUCGAGCGAAUGGAUUAAGAGCUUGCUCUUAUGAAGUUAGCGGCGGACGGGUGAGUAACACGUGGGUAACCUGCCCAUAAGACUGGGAUAACUCCGGGAAACCGGGGCUAAUACCGGAUAACAUUUUGAACCGCAUGGUUCGAAAUUGAAAGGCGGCUUCGGCUGUCACUUAUGGAUGGACCCGCGUCGCAUUAGCUAGUUGGUGAGGUAACGGCUCACCAAGGCAACGAUGCGUAGCCGACCUGAGAGGGUGAUCGGCCACACUGGGACUGAGACACGGCCCCAGACUCCUACGGGAGGCAGCAGUAGGGAAUCUUCCGCAAUGGACGAAAGUCUGACGGAGCAACGCCGCGUGAGUGAUGAAGGCUUUCGGGUCGUAAAACUCUGUUGUUAGGGAAGAACAAGUGCUAGUUGAAUAAGCUGGCACCUUGACGGUACCUAACCAGAAAGCCACGGCUAACUACGUGCCAGCAGCCGCGGUAAUACGUAGGUGGCAAGCGUUAUCCGGAAUUAUUGGGCGUAAAGCGCGCGCAGGUGGUUUCUUAAGUCUGAUGUGAAAGCCCACGGCUCANCCGUGGAGGGUCAUUGGAAACUGGGAGACUUGAGUGCAGAAGAGGAAAGUGGAAUUCCCUGUGUAGCGGUGAAAUGCGUAGAGAUAUGGAGGAACACCAGUGGCGAAGGCGACUUUCUGGUCUGUAACUGACACUGAGGCGCGAAAGCGUGGGGAGCAAACAGGAUAGAUACCCUGGUAGUCCACCCCGUAAA
rnacentral:rRNA from 1 species